ACUCAAAGGAAUUGACGGGGGCCCGCACAAGCGGUGGAGCAUGUGGUUCAAUUCGAAGCAACGCGAAGAACCUUACCAGCCUUUGACAUCCCGGUCGCGAGCACCAGAGAUGGAGCUCUUCAGUUCGGCUGGACCGGAGACAGGUGCUGCAUGGCUGUCGUCAGCUCGUGUCGUGAGAUGUUGGGUUAAGUCCCGCAACGAGCGCAACCCUCGCCCUUAGUUGCCAUCAUUUAGUUGGGCACUCUAAGGGGACUGCCGGUGAUAAGCCGGAGGAAGGUGGGGAUGACGUCAAGUCCUCAUGGCCCUUACAGGCUGGGCUACACACGUGCUACAAUGGCGGUGACAGAGGGACGCAAAGGAGCAAUCCUUCGCAAAUCUCAAAAAGCCGUCUCAGUUCGGAUUGUGCUCUGCAACUCGAGCACAUGAAGUUGGAAUCGCUAGUAAUCGCAGAUCAGCACGCUGCGGUGAAUACGUUCCCGGGCCUUGUACACACCGCCCGU
rnacentral:rRNA from 1 species